GGCAGUACAACAUGUGAUACCGAAUUUGCCAAAUGGCUAGUCCCUUGUUUUCCUGGACGAUUAGCAGCUACCGUGCAGACUGUUGCAAUAUUGUCCCGCGUUUAAGGCAGCCAUCCGUGCUAGAGAAAUCUGCUUUGCUCGCACACGGCUGCCACGGAUUGAUAAUGGCUCCUGACUGUUGUGGCAUGCAUCAGCAACGAGCUAGAGGGGGCAGCAGGUUCGGCAAUAUCCGGCUACCUGGGCCCCUGCUAGAUGGAUAAGAUCUAUUCUCGACCCAUUGGCUACUAUCGUGAAUUACCCGGGGUGCCUUCCCAUACAACACCUCUUUUUGCGAAUCAAUGGGGCCGGAGCCCUGGGAUUGGUGCCAGUCUGCCUGCCGUCCUGCGUCUCUGCAUGCGGUGAAUACACAUUUCUACGCGCACGUUAUCCAAUCCAAGAAAGAAAGGUAUUCGCCUGCAGGACUGCACAUUCGUUCCACGAGAGAUUAUGCGUAUUUUUCUUCCCGCUCUGGGCCUUUUUCACCCUCAGCCCGAGUUCGUUGUCUGCAAGCAAUUUGGGAGAAGCCGCAUAUUUAGGGCCUUGCGCCACCUCGAUGCCAAACACAUAGGCUGAUAAGAAGGCAGCCUAAUAUCGCCAUACACAUCCACGUAGCAUGAGUGCCUUGGGAUGUUGCCGGAACUGCCCGCUAGGUCACAACUGUUCGGACAUACCUUACAUAUAACCUUUCAUGUCCUCUGCGAUUGGACUGGCUCGUUUACACAAAACAUGGAUCCACCUUAACCUACGCGGUUCUAUGGAGAAGGCUUUGCGACCACCAAUGCUGAUGGCGAGAUGGCGAGGGGCAGCCGCGUUGGUUGGCUGAAAGAGCUGCUGCCGGGCCUCUGCAGCAGGCUAAGCGAAGGCAACGGAGGAUACAGAGAAUCUUCAUGGGCUUAUGGAGAGGUACUCGACAAAAUAACGAUAGCAAUGUACAGUGCAGAGUCCUUGUUGAGGACACGUCAACUGUCGCCGCAGCCCUGCGUUGCGCCGUGCACGUGAGUCUGGGCCGGACGCCGGAGAUACAAAGCUGGGCUUCAUGAAACACGUCAUUCAAAUAAAGGUUUCUAACUUCUUGCAUUCCCGCAGCCUGUCCGACGUCAGUCAGACCAACCGCUAGUUGCAUAUAAAAGUGUGGACGGAAUAUGGGUACUGUAAUAAGAUGUUGAGUUGCAGAGGUGUUGAACAUUCCAUGUUGGAGUUUUAGCAAUACAAGCAUGAAUUUUGUGAAAAGGCGCGGACGGUAUACAUACAGAGUUCCUGCUCCGAGCCUCUGUCAUGAAGAUAAAACACGUGUAUGGGGUUCCGUAUGUACAGUAGUCGCCGGUCAUCGUUUCGUCCUCAAGGAAACGGAACAUGGGUCAGGGGAGUUGGUCCCGUACAAAAGAAUGUGCGACAAUGCAGCUUCAUCUGUGGUACCUCAAAUUGUUCGUCAUG
rnacentral:lncRNA from 1 species